AGUGAACGCUGGCGGCGUGCUUAACACAUGCAAGUCGAACGAGAACGGGUUAUAGCUUGCUAUAAUUGUCAGCUAAGUGGCGCACGGGUGAGUAAUGUAUAGGUAAUAUGCCUCUUACUAAGGGAUAACAAAUGGCAACGUUUGCUAAUACCUUAUACUCCUUAUUAACAGAAGUUAAUAAGGGAAAGAUUUAUUGGUAAGAGAUUAGCCUGUAUUGUAUCAGUUAGUUGGUGGGGUAAUGGCUUACCAAGACUAUGACACAUAACUGGUUUCAGAGGAUGAUCAGUCACACUGGAACUGAGACACGGUCCAGACUCCUACGGGAGGCAGCAGUGGGGAAUAUUGCACAAUGGACGAAAGUCUGAUGCAGCAACGCCGCGUGGAGGAUGACACAUUUCGGUGCGUAAACUCCUUUUAUAUGAGAAGAUAAUGACGGUAUUAUAUGAAUAAGCACCGGCUAACUACGUGCCAGCAGCCGCCGUAA
rnacentral:rRNA from 1 species